UCCCUUAAAAACACUGGAUAGCAGUAGCCUUAAAAUACAUAGGUGUAAAGUAGAACGUCUGUGCUGAUGUUACCAGUCACCUUAGAGAAUCUUGUGUGCACUGCUUUUUUUCCUUUUCCUCUUUCUUUCUCUUUUUCUGGGGGCAGGGUACUGAGUAUUGUACAUGUCACUAAAAAAUGAAAAUGAUUUUUUUCCCUGAAAUUCAUAAACUGCUAAAGUGAAGACAAUAAUUAAUGGUGGUGAAAGGAAAGCAGGAUUUCUUUGUAAGCCCCAUACAAUAAUGUUUUAUGUAGUUGAUAUAUGAUAAAGUGUCUACAUGUACAUACAUAUUUACACACCAGAGUGUUAAAUAUAAAAGAGUACUAACUAAUCAAAAUACCUGAGUGAGAGCAAUACUCUAACCCUGGGUUUUGAGAGAGCUAUUUUCAUUUUGGACAAUUAGAAGGAGUUAAUAAUACCUUAUCACAGUUUAAUAAGUUUAAGUAACCAUAAGAAGUGGUAAUACUAGUUGAGAUAAAGUCAUUUCAGGGAUGGUUUUUGACUGUUUAUGGAUGCUGGGAGGCCUUUAUCUUAGGGACUCUGUUAUCCCUUCCCACAUAUUUUCAGAGUGUCCAUGGAGGGCAACCUUUCUUUCUUACAAAAUACCUUGAUUCUUGCAGGCAUGGUGACACACACCUAUAAUCCAGUGUCACACCUAUAAUCCAGGGGGCUAAGGUCAGAGGAUCACAAGUUUGAGGACAGCUUUGGAAAUUUAGUGAGGCCCUGUAUAAAAAUUAAAAAA
rnacentral:lncRNA from 1 species